AGAGUUGAUCAUGGCUCAGGAUGAACGCUGGCGGCAUGCCUAAUACAUGCAAGUCGAACGGGAGUGCUUGCACUCCAGUGGCGAACGGGUGAGUAAUACAUAGGUAACCUGUCCUUAAGACGAGGAUAGCUUCUAGAAAUGGAAGAUAAAACUGGAUAGGACAUCACAAAUCACAUGAUUAGAUGUUUAAAAGAGCAAUCUACUUAAGGAGGGGCCUGUGGCGCAUUAGCCAGAUGGCGGGGUAAUGGCCCACCAUAGCGAUGAUGCGUAGCCGGUCUGAGAGGACGAACGGCCACAUUGGGACUGAGACACGGCCCAGACUCCUACGGGAGGCAGCAGUAGGGAAUUUUCGGCAAUGGGCGGAAGCCUGACCGAAGCAAUGCCGCGUGAAUGAAGAAGUAUUUCGGUAUGUAAAGUUCUUUUAUUUGGGACGAAAAACAAAUUGACGGUACCAAAUGAAUAAGCCCCGGCUAACUAUGUGCCAGCAGCAGC
rnacentral:rRNA from 1 species